CCAAUAGCGUAUAUUAAAGUUGUUGCAGUUAAAAAGCUCGUAGUUGAAUUUCGGGAUCAAUACGUCGGUCGUGCCUCUGGUAUGUACUGGUGUUAUUGAUUCCUCCUUUCUGAUGAACCAUGAUGUCAUUAAUUUGGUGUUGUGGGGAGUCAGGACUGUUACUUUGAAAAAAUUAGAGUGUUUAAAGCAGGCCUACGCUUGAAUACAUUAGCAUGGAAUAAUGAAAUAGGACGUUCGAACCUAUUUUGUUGGUUUCUAGGAUCAACGUAAUGAUUAAUAGGGAUAGUUGGGGGCAUUAGUAUUCAAUUGUCAGAGGUGAAAUUCUUGGAUUUAUUGAAGACUAACUACUGCGAAAGCAUUUGCCAAGGAUGUUUUCAUUAAUCAAGAACGAAAGUUAGGGGAUCGAAGACGAUCAGAUACCGUCGUAGUCUUAACCAUAAACUAUGCCGACUAGGGAUCGGAUGAUGUUAAUUUUUUAAUGACUCAUUCGGCGCCUUACG
rnacentral:rRNA from 1 species